rnacentral:rRNA from 1 species
AACAACACUAGACGCAUGUCUAGAGUUUAAAAGAUGGUUCUGCUAUCACUCUUGGAUGGACCUGCGGUGCAUUAGCUAGUUGGUAAGGUAACGGCUUACCAAGGCAAUGAUGCAUAGCCGAGUUGAGAGACUGAUCGGCCACAUUGGGACUGAGACACGGCCCAAACUCCUACGGGAGGCAGCAGUAGGGAAUCUUCCACAAUGGACGCAAGUCUGAUGGAGCAACGCCGCGUGAGUGAAGAAGGGUUUCGGCUCGUAAAGCUCUGUUGGUAGUGAAGAAAGAUAGAGGUAGUAACUGGCCUUUAUUUGACGGUAACUACUUAGAAAGUCACGGCUAACUACGUGCCAGCAGCCGCGGUAAUACGUAGGUGGCAAGCGUUGUCCGGAUUUAUUGGGCGUAAAGCGAGUGCAGGCGGUUCAAUAAGUCUGAUGUGAAAGCCUUCGGCUCAACCGGAGAAUUGCAUCAGAAACUGUUGAACUUGAGUGCAGAAGAGGAGAGUGGAACUCCAUGUGUAGCGGUGGAAUGCGUAGAUAUAUGGAAGAACACCAGUGGCGAAGGCGGCUCUCUGGUCUGCAACUGACGCUGAGGCUCGAAAG